UGUAUGGUUAUGAGUUUAAAUUUGAAUAAGUGUGAUAGUAUAUAUAUAUAUAUAAGUCGCAUAGAGAAAGAGUGAAAAAAAUAAAAAGUAAUCUGAAACAAAGAAGAGACAAGUAGUAAGGUUUCAAGUGACAAAUAGCUAAGGAAGGUUGGUGUAUACUAUCACACCAAUACAAGGGUCCUAGCUUUGCGAUCUCUCACACCAGUUAUUCAUAUUCUCGAAUUUCUGAGAUUAAGGUAAUCUUAGAUGACCGGUGGUGAGCAGAUUCCCAAUAGCAAGACUAGUGUGAAUAUGUGGGGGUCUUAUAGCCGCGUGUUAUUAUUCUUGGGAAAUUAUGAAAUUUAGUAAAUGUUGCCUAGUUUUUUUUUUUUUAAUUCCAGUGUAAAGACUAUUACUGUUUUAAACCCGGGUUAUAUUUAUUUUAAAUUAUUAAUAAAGAAGGCAAUAUAUUUUUUUUACGAUUUAUUACAUUUUUUUUUCAACUCUCUAUUUCUACAAUUAUAGUCAGAAUCUAGGUUGUUACACCUAAUUGGGAAAGCAUCAAACGCUUGUCUGACCCAAUGGUCGUGGAAAAUUAAAGCGCUAGGUAUGCUGGGCCAGCUCCAAGGCUGGUUAUACAGAGGAUAAGGCAAUGGGCCCCGGGGUGACUUAUUAGUCCCAUAUCCUAGGGCUGUGUCCUUGUAUGAUUCAUUACUCAUGUAUUUUGGGCAACAUGCCCCAGUAUGAUUCAUUAAUCAUGUAAUUAG